rnacentral:rRNA from 1 species
UACGGGGGGGCAAGCGUUGUUCGGAAUUACUGGGCGUAAAGGGUGCGUAGGCGGUUCGUUAAGUUAGAUGUGAAAACUCUGGGCUCAACCCAGAGCCUGCAUCUAAAACUGGCGGGCUAGAGUUCUGGAGGGGGUAGCGGAAUUCCUGGUGUAGCGGUGAAAUGCGUAGAUAUCAGGAGGAACACCGGUGGCGAAGGCGGCUACCUGGACAGAAACUGACGCUGAGGCACGAAAGCGUGGGGAGCAAACAGG